CACCGGCGCCGGAGCUGCGCCCUCCGCCUGACGUUGCCCCGAGAUCGGCGGCCCCCACGCCUGUGACGCGGAAACCCUCUUCCUUGACCGCAGGACCCGCGCUGCCUCUCAGCUUGGUGAAGCCUGCUUCCGCGCACGCUCGCAGAGCCGGGAAGCCACGGAUCAGGUUGUGAACCGCGGGUGGCGGGGCGUGGGGAAGGCGUCCUGCCCAGAACACGUGUACAGAUGGGAGAGUCGAUUCUUCGGUGGACUCUGAUGCUACAAGGAAACCCCUAUUCUCCAAUUACAGGUGUCCCAGGGCUCCCGUCACUCACUCACCCACCUGCACCUACACCCACACUGAACCAGAGCACUAAAAUACAAGGAAACUUUUAUUUUCAGUUUUCA